AGGCAGGGAAGGCUGGUCUCCUGAUGGGCCAGCCCUCAACCAAGAGACUCUCCUCCCAUCCCAGAAGGUCUGGGCGCUCCUAGCCACACGACCGACCGCAGUGUGAACAGUGGAACGACAGAUGCUAAAGUUUAGACUCCUAAGGCUGAGCCAAAGAUCACCGAGGACAACUUUCAGCUCUGAGUAGCUAGGAUUUUAUGCUUCCUCUCCUUUUGAAGAAAUCAGUGGCUACAUGGCUACAAGUGAUUUUCCAGUGAACACACCCUCUAACUUCCCCCAAGAUACAUCCACUUCUGCAAGAAUUCAGAAAAGUACAGCUAAAUUUUUUUCUGAACUAUUGUUUACCUUCUGUUAGAUCUGGCUCUGAGCACAUGAAAUUUGUGGGUUAUUGUUUUACACCUAAAUAAAAAUACUCUUUUAAAUAUAACUCCUUAUCUCUCACAAGAUGACAAUUAUCAGUUAUUAUAUUCUUUUCUGUGCCUACCAUGAUGCUUUCACAUAGUGGAGACUCAAUAUUUUUUUAGCAAAUAGCCUAUAUAACCUUAGUCACUUCAAAUCAGUUGAGAAAGAAUUAAAUUUCAGAGUCCUUUAGUGACUUGCCCAGGAUCACACUAAUCUCAUUAGGGACAGACAUGGUUCUAAUACUAGCCCCAGCAACAAUUGUAGAGAUGAUGAGAACCUGAUGCAAAAUGUUUGUUCUUGAUCUUUUCCUUCAUCAAAGAGCUCUUCAGCAGACAGGGAAUAGGGCCAAAAGCAGAACUGGGCAGAGCUCAGAGAAUAGAUGGAUUGGAUUUCCACUAGGCUUCAUCCCUGAUUUUGACCCCUUUGGUUCCUGAUGCUUUCUCCCCACUGAACAAGAUCAGAAAAGGCAGGUUCCAACAUAGAGAAUUUCCCAGAGUUAUCCCAGUCUAGUUCCCCUGCUUGUCUGUCUGCCUGGCAUAUAUUUUCCCAUGCAUCCAGAAAGUAGCUGCUUUCCAUUCCCUUCUCCCUCCCUCUUCCUCCUCCUUCUUCUUCCUGUCUCUCUGUGUGUUUCUCUCUCUCCCUCCCUCUCCUCCUCCCUUUCUCCUGCCACUGGUAAUCAUGUUCCUUAAAUGGAAGAAAAAACUGUGGGAGCCCAUAGAAGUAUGCUAAUUCCUCCAGGAAGACUGAAUUGAACAGCUGAAUAUUCUUUUAAUUGCCACCUGCAAAGCAGUACAUCCAGCAACCCAUACGCUUUAUGCUUAGGCAUUCACAAAUUCAAGAGAUCGGUGGCAUUUUGAAAAAGUGCAAUUCAGACUCUCAGAGGAUUCUUCGGGAGGUAAAUGUAACUCCACAUACAAUGGAAAAGUCUGUAUGUUCCUCAGUUAGCAAGUCUAAAAAAAGGGAAAUGUCAGUUCAACCUCAAAUCAGCCUUAGUUGUUAGAGCAAAAAAAAAAAAAAAAAAUACUUAGGAUCCAUCUAGAAGAAACCCAGAGGAAAGGCUGUAGCCUAUGUUCUUUCUCUUUCUUUUCCUUGCUCUCCCUUUAAAUUUCUUCAGCUGUUAAAGGGACUGUUAACAAGGGCUGAGAAAAGCAUUUAACUGCUCCAACCUAAUCUUCAAAGUCAAGCUGAGGCCUGGGAAGGCCAUGUGCCAGCCCCAAACUGGAAGGCUGAUAGCCAGAGUCCCAGUUGGAUGACACAGCCCCAGCAACAUGCAAAAUAUUUAUGAUUUCUUUCUACCAUAACACUUAUGGCUAUCUGACCAAGUCACGAACAGCUUUGUUGCAGAGGUUUGGGAUAAAUCUGUAGUGGUGGUGUUCCUCAUCCCAAAACUUCCCCUUUAUCCCUUUUUCUGCGUAUCUAACACAGUAGCCACAGUACCCAACUGGAAACUUCAGGUUGGAGAGCAAGGUAUGUAGAAACAAUAAUUCACAAAUUCCCAAUGGAAUUCAAAUCAUGAUAUCUGCUAAAAAGCAUAUUUAAUACAGUCUGCUCUCUAAAACUCAUUUCUCCUGAACUUAGCAGCGGCCCAGGGUGCUACAAAAAUCUCAAGACUAUUAAUUUCAAAUCACCUAAAAUUUUUUUAAAUAGAAAAAUUGUUGCCAAAAGCAUUCUCAUUAUAAAAGAAUCCAACAACUCCAAAACAAUUAAGAGUUGAGGCUGACAUCUGAAUCUCAAGAAACUAUCAACAUAAAACUAUUCCUUGACCAGAUUUUGAAGUUUGAGUUUUUCCUUUUCCCUCACCCAAUUCAAAUCUUUGGGGGCAUGACAAGAAAAAGAACAGUACAGUAAAGGAGAAAUAAAAUUUCUCAUUCACUAUAAUCAAAGUAAAUUUCCUAGAAGAGGUGGCCAUAGUGAAAAAAUCUGAGAAAUUGCAAAAGCUACACUUACUUUAUCCACAGGAUCAUAAGUCCAUAGCUAGAAAAGACCUGAAAGGCCAUUGAAUCCAAACCUUUCUUUUGACAAAUAAAGAAACCAAGGCAUUGAGGGUGACUUGCCCAGGGACAUACAACUAGAAAGUAGACAAGAUUUGUCUGAAUAUAAAAUCUGAUGACUUCAUGUCCAGCUGUGUCCUGUGCAAGCAUGUUUCUCUCCCAUGUCUCAAGCUAUGUUGAAUCCAAUCCCACCCUUCUGGGAGUCUAGACAAUGUAUUUGUGGCUCUGCGUUAUCUUGGUGACUCUGCCUUGGCAGGUCAGAACUGUAUUCGUUCCUUAAAUGGAUAUACCAAGUGUGGACUCUGAAAUUAGCAAGAUUAAUUUUAACACACAAUUGGAAAGACCUAUUAUCCCCAAGUGCACUGUAGCUAGAGGCUGAACCUGUAAAUCAGUUCAUUCAAAUCCUCAGGAUUGCAGCUGUGUUGGGGUCAACAUAGGGCAGGGGAGGGAAGAUGUUUUUUAAAGGACUAUAAAAGUGCAGCCGAUCCAUUCUCUGUAGCUUGGUGCUGGCAGAGGACAACUCUUAAUUUUCCAGUCCUGUCCCACUCCUUAUUUGUUCAGACUCCAGAUUACUCUUUCAUUGAUGUCUGUCCUGGCUGUGACUAUGUAUAGCAAGUUAUAGUGUUUUAGUGAUCUGUAAUCUCUGGCUAGACAUCGAAGAGACACUGAUGAGAUGCUGGAAAAAUGCGGCUGUUGUUUACAUGUCAAAUGCACCUGAUACAAAAGAAUGUUAUUUGUGCUACUCUUAGAGUACUCUGCAAAGGAGGAAGAGUAUCCAAGAGCAUUCUGGUACUGAUCUUUUUUCCAGCUCUUGGGUUGUUAGAACUGAACAACAGAUGCAACAGGGGGAAAAAAACCAGUGUGCAAAAGGAAAACUUUCUGAUUCACCCAAGUGGUAGGAGUAUUAUUCUGUUAGUAAGUGAAGUUUAGAGUGGCUCAUCAGCAGCCACCCAAAAUUUAAUGUUAAUUAUACCUAGUUAAGAAUUAGGCAGAAUAGAAAAGUUUUUUUUUUUUUUUUUCUCACAGCUACCCAAUGACAGUUUUUAUUUGUUUAUCGUUGUUCAGUUCAUGCAAAAAACAACUCAUUAAAUGUCCCAGAAAUAAAAAAAAAAAACUUAGUAAGAUUGACUAGCUGAUUUUACUGUUACCAAACUCCUAAUUUUUAGGAAAACAGAUGCAUCCCUGCCAAAGGAAGUUUGUUCACCCAGGUGGGUGAACACUAAAGAGGUGAUCUUGAUUUAUUUCUGUUGCCAUUCUGUGGGAAACCAGAGCUUAUAUAGCAUAGGUUGUUUUUUUUUUUUGUUUUUUUGUUUUUUUUCAGUAACCAGAUUAAAUACAUCUAAAGAGGUGGAGAGGCAGUGAUCCCACUCUCAAAAAAAAAUUAGGGCAUUCUUUGGAUCAUUAUGACAGAGGAUAGUGUAAUUUAUAGUUUAUAUAGACACCAAAACCUUCUUUUGCACACAUGAACUUCCUAUUGGUGAAGCUUGAGCACCCAUAGUGAGCUGGGCACUGUACUAAGUAUACUGAGAACAUGAAUUCACCCAUGAAGAGUGAAUAUUCUAAUGUAUGUGGUAGGAUUUAAUAAAUCUGAUGGUAGGAGUAACAGGAUUAACCAAUCUCAUUUGGUUGGAAAUCUUAGGAGUUGGCAAAGCUCCUAAAAACUGUGUAUUUCUUAAUAGCUUGUAAGAUGACAAAUAAUGUGCUGGAAGGGACCUUGUGGCACACAAGGAUAAAUGUAGGAACAAAUUUUAUAAUAAUCUCCACCUGAUUCAUUAGUUAGAAAGCCAUUGUUGCAAUACCAAGAAACCCAUUGACUUGUUCAACGUAAGCAAUCUUUGUUGCAGUCACUUCUUCCCUAAGAAAGAGCUGAACAUAUCCAGGCUUUCUCAGUCCAUGUGAUUCCAUGCAUUUCUGUAUAUGAAGCUCUACCAAAUGUGCUAUGGGCUUUCCUCUGGUUCUAUUAAUAAUUUUGUGGAUAAUAUAACACUUGUUAUUGCUUACUAUUCGGUGUAAAGUGGGAAUCCAUCAAAUAGGUUGUUUAAUUUAAUUGACCAAUAGUUUGACUUGAGAGUACUAUUGCUAUCACCUAAAUAAACUGUAGAGCUUGGUGGGUAAUAAAAUGUUCUAAUAGCUAGAAAGGGAUCCAUGAGGGCAGAGACCAUAUUUUUGCCUUUUUUUGAAAUAUCCCCAUCACUAAGCAGCUCCUGGAACAUAAUAAAUGCUUAACAAAGGCAUAUUGUUGAUGAUAAUGAUGAUCAAAGCAGAUAUUCAAAACCUACCACGCAGAAUAGUUAGAAACUUCUCUCUCCCCAUCACCAUCCAAAAACCUCCUCAAAGCCAUCUGUACAAUAAUCAGCAUGCUAUAAAACUGCCCACUCUCUUGCAAUUUUUCAAAUGCAAUCAGCUCUUGAAAGGCAAAAAGGCCAAAUCAAAAUGAUUCUACUCUGCAUCAUUGUCUGGAUUGCAAAAUUUGAACAAAAAGACCUAGCACUUCACCUUUCCAGAGCCUUGCAUUUGUCUUCCUAAUUUUGUCAGCUUUUUCCUACUAGCUUUUUUUCCCCACUCAGCUGAGUUUCAGUAAUUCUAAAGGGCAAGUCAAAAUACUGUGACACAGAAAUCUCUCAAGGAGAAGGACCCAAUCUAGGCCCAGCAACUGAAGAAAUUGCCAGGUAAACUAAAGUAAGUCUCUUAAAUUAAAGCACAACAUUUCCACAAGCUAUGGCUUUUUUUUUUCUCCUAAAAAAGAUGUCAACAGUCUUUAAGAGCUUGCUUAGUGUGCCUUCAUACUGAUAACAGUUAACAGGGUGCCCUCAACUUAUGCUAUGUCUAGAUAGCAAGAAGCUUCCCAAAUAACCGACUCAAAAAGCCAGAGAACUCAGUAGGAGGUACAAUGAUUUGCAAGAGUUGUAUGAGAAGUCUUCCUUCUGCAAACCAGUACUGGAGAUAAAGUGUUUUCAAUGGUGCUUGUGGUUUGCUUUUUAAAGGACUUUCUCGGCCAUGCUGUUUAGCUACAAAACUCUCCUCAGUCACCAAAAAAAGAACUGGAUAUUCAUAAAAAGGUACUAGCCUUAUUUGUACCAUCUCUAUUUUUCCAAAUAGCCAUUUUGCUUUGGACACUGAGACCAUGAUGAAAUCUACUUAAGUUUAGAAAACUACCAGUAAAGUAGUGACUCAUACAGGCACUUUAUAUAUGUUUGUUAAUUGAUUUCCUGAAGUCUCCCAAGGAAAUCAUGAAGGUUUUCAGACCUGGAUAGUGUAUUAUGAAUUAUACAUAUGACAUUUUUCUUCUUUUGAUCUAUCAAAAACCCAGUUUUAUAUGAUCAAUGGCUAGAAGAGAAUUUCAAAACCCAUUCCAGGGUUUCCCCACAUUGAAUAAGGGAAAGGAAUUCCCUUCCAGAUAAUUUACAGUUACAAUUCUUCAUAGAAUAUAGUGAAAAGAUAGAAAUGGAUUAUUCUGAGAAUUGACCUCAAAGAAUCCAGCAAAUCACUGAAUAUUUAUUCUAGGAAUGGGUGUUAGUAGGGCCAGAGACAAGAGAAAAGAAAGCAACAGAAAUCAGUGGAUUAUUUGAAAAAUGUCCCUGCUUUUCUUUCAGGUUGGCUAUUUGGCUAACAAUAAUUGUUAUUUGCUACUGUUUACAUUUUCAAUUGCAUCUAAUAAAGGAAGGAAAUAGUUUGGAGUUACUUAUACAAAUAGUAAUAGUUUUUGGAUAUUUUAAUCGACUCUUAUACAAAUAAAAGAUCUGUGCUUCUCAGAAAAAUCUUCUCUGAAUCAAAGAUGACACUUAAGGCAGGGAUGGAGAGAAGAGACAGAUGGAAAAGAGUGGGUGGUGAAGGGCAAAGAAUAAUGGCAAAGCAUUUACUAUGCAUUUUUGGUACUCCUGACACCAGUUUUCUAUUAUUGGUAUUGUUGGUAUAUGUAUGAUUUGGGAUUGGGAGGA